rnacentral:tRNA from 1 species
UCUGUUUUCACUAAGGUUAUAGCAUCGCAUUUGUAAUGCGAUGGUCAUUGGUUCGAUUCCGAUAGCUAGCU